rnacentral:snRNA from 1 species
AUACUUACCUAGCGGGGGAGAUACCAUGAUACCAAGGAGGUUUUCCCAGGGAGAGGCUUAUCCAUUGCACUCCAGAUGUGCUGACCCCAGUGAUUUCUCCAAAUGUGGGAAACUCGACUGCAUAAUUUGUGGUAGCAGGGGACUGUGUUCAUGCUCUCUCCUU